GACGAACGCUGGCGGCAGGCUUAACACAUGCAAGUCGAACGCAUCCUUCGGGGUGAGUGGCAGACGGGUGAGUAACGCGUGGGAACGUGCCCUUCAGUUCGGGAUAACCCAGGGAAACUUGGGCUAAUACCGGAUACGUGCGAGAGCAGAAAGAUUUAUCGCUGAAGGAUCGGCCCGCGUCUGAUUAGCUAGUUGGUGGGGGAAUGGCCCACCAAGGCGGCGAUCAGUAGCUGGUCUGAGAGGAUGAUCAGCCACAUUGGGACUGAGACACGGCCCAAACUCCUACGGGAGGCAGCAGUGGGGAAUAUUGGACAAUGGGCGCAAGCCUGAUCCAGCCAUGCCGCGUGAGUGAUGAAGGCCUUAGGGUUGUAAGGCUCUUUCGUCCGGGACGAUAAUGACGGUACCGGAAGAAGAAGCCCCGGCUAACUUCGUGCCAGCCGCCGCGGUAAAAC
rnacentral:rRNA from 1 species